rnacentral:rRNA from 1 species
UACGUAGGGACCGAGCGUUGUCCGGAAUCAUUGGGCGUAAAGAACGUGUAGGCGGCCACUUAAGUCCUGCGUGAAAUCUUGCGGCUCAACCGCAAGCGGUCGUGGGAAACUGGGUGGCUAGAGUGCGGGAGAGGAGAGUGGAAUUCCUGGUGUAGCGGUGGAAUGCGCAGAUAUCAGGAAGAACACACGUGGCGAAGGCGGUUCUCUGGGACGGUACUGACGCUGAGACGCGAAAGCGUGGGGAGCGAACAGG